GCUAAAUUUGGGAUAGGUGGCAGGUGGCAAGGGCCCCAGGAGCUUCCCCUUUCAUCUGGCUACCAUUUUCAUUCUGCAAGAGCAUAUGAGUGAGAGUGUGUGCUCCAGGGAAUCAUGUGGAAUGAAAUAAUCCCCAGCAGAAAUGGAGUGUAAUGAGGCUAGCCACUGGGCAGUAAAAUAUCGGUGUCUGGGAGUUCACCAGUUUUGUGCCUCCAUGGAAUUCUUCCAUAACCUCCAAUAAAUGGUGUUAUGGAAGAAUUCUCUUUUCUUUUUAAUUUUUUUUUGCCUAAAGACAUUCCUCUCUCAGGUUAGACAGAUCUCUGCUUGCUUGUCAGUCCCUAAUGACUUCACUUGAAGUCACAUAAAACAGGAAAGCAGCUUUAGACUCAAAUAGAAAUGACUAAAUUCUUGACUUGGUAUCAGGCCAUAUGCACUUUGGUUUGAGAUACAUUCAUGAUCCCAAACAGCCUUGAAGCCUUUGACAAUCUUAGACACUGGAACAAGUAGCAGCACAAGGCCUGUGUUUUUAUCAUCAACAUUUCACAAGCUACAGCAGAGAGCAGUCAUGUGCAAAAUAGCCUGAUCAGUGGCAAUUCCUGACUGGUGCUGAGGAACUGCUCAGAAACAUGUGAUUUGGCCUUAAUCAAAGCAAUGCUAGGCAUCAUCCUAAGAAUUUCGAAGUAGCCAAUAAGCUGAAAGAUGUGCUCCUUGUCAAAAACAAGAUUCCAAAGUGGCUUUGUCAGCUGUGUCCAUCAUUUGCUGUAGGUAGUGAGUGAGCUAUCAGGUGGAUAUGGAUUAACACCAAGGGCAAGCAACCCUCGAAAUGUCACAUGUCAACACACCCUAUUUCAUGGCCAUGGCUCAGAAAGGCAGUUCUGCAGUCAUUCUUCAAUAACCCAGAGAACAUGAAUAUACAUAUGGUGUUUGGCAAAUCCAGGAGCCAGACAUCUUAACCAGGACAACACAGUGCAGAACUUUCAGCACAGAUCAUGAUGAAGGACCUUGGAGACCUUUAUUCUUCAGGACAUCACUCUCAGAAGAGUGAGUAAUACACAGCAAAGAAACUUAUGCUGAAUCAAUUCAAAUUUCUUUCUUCUUCUUUCCAGAAGGACAACUAGAUAGGUCUACGGAGUAUAUUAUUUUUUUUAAAAACCAAUUUUUUCUCAGAAAAAAGAAGAAUGAAAGAAAAAUAAAUUACGUAUCUGAUGAUGCUACUUCCA
rnacentral:lncRNA from 1 species